rfam:Otolemur garnettii contig137083, whole genome shotgun sequence.
GUGCCUGUAGCUCAAGGGAGUAGAGCGCCAGCCCCAUAUACUGGAGGUGGCAGGUUCAAAUCCAGCCCUGGCCA